CUUCUCUACUCUCUCCAUCUCUCUGCCUUUCUCUGCCUCUUAGCCCCCCUUCCCAUACACUCCUCCCUGCAAAAGGUAUUUAACCUCAGGCUCACCCUGCGAAAGGGGGUGUGGUUUCACUCCUCACAACUCUCUGCCAUGACAAUAAAUGCCUUAAAACCAUGGACUGUCUCUCUUCUCACCGGGAUCCACCAUGUAGGAGGAAUGGAGCAGGCGGAUCCUGCUCUAAAGAGCAGCGCCUCAUCUCAGGCGGGAGGCCUCUCUACGUUCCAAGCCACAGUCUCCACCAAGCCCACCCGACUGAACAAGCCAGACUCUCCUCCCCACAGGAACCAGUGAGAGUGUUGUCCUCCAGCCCUUGUCCUGUGGGACCCAACUCUGUUUCAGCACUUCCGAGGCCUCCAGUGGCUUCUGGAGUGCCCAAGAGUUCGAGAACUGUCAUCCUCAGAAUACUUGCAGGCUAUGGACCCACAAGCUAGCUACCAGCAGGAUCCCCAGGGACUUCAGACUGUGCCUCCCAACCUCUGGAGCAGGAUUCUGCAGGUUCUCAUAGCCUGAUGCUGUGGCGUGGGGAGAGAAUCAGAAGGUCAGGAAUCUCGGGAUGAAAACAGAAGAUCACAAGCCUGAGAGAACAAAAACGAGGAAGAUUUUGGAGGUUCCCUCUUCAGCAUUAUAAAAAGAAGUCAACAAAUGGGAGAGGAGAGACUGUUACCAGACAACCUGCAGAGAGAAGACCUAUGGGAUCAGGAGCCAGUGGAAUCCUCUGCGAGCUGUGUGGAGAGGUGCUUGCAGUUUUGUUGUGGCCUCAGAGUCUUGGAAUGGACCUUCUGAUGACACCGAUGCUUAGCUGUAUCAUUCCUGAUCCUUAUACAUAACUCCUCACCCAUGUUCCAGUGAGUAACCCCAAUAAAACUCACUGGUUGACCAGGU